GAUGAACGCUGGCGGCGUGCCUAAUACAUGCAAGUCGAGCGAACGGACGAGAAGCUUGCUUCUCUGAUGUUAGCGGCGGACGGGUGAGUAACACGUGGAUAACCUACCUAUAAGACUGGGAUAACUUCGGGAAACCGGAGCUAAUACCGGAUAAUAUUUUGAACCGCAUGGUUCAAAAGUGAAAGACGGUCUUGCUGUCACUUAUAGAUGGAUCCGCGCUGCAUUAGCUAGUUGGUAAGGUAACGGCUUACCAAGGCAACGAUGCAUAGCCAACCUGAGAGGGUGAUCGGCCACACUGGAACUGAGACACGGUCCAGACUCCUACGGGAGGCAGCAGUAGGGAAUCUUCCGCAAUGGGCGAAAGCCUGACGGAGCAAAGCCGCGUGAGUGAUGAAGGUCUUCGGAUCGUAAAACUCUGUUAUUAGGGAAGAACAUAUGUGUAAGUAACUGUGCACAUCUUGACGGUACCUAAUCAGAAAGCCACGGCUAACUACGUG
rnacentral:rRNA from 1 species